CAUACAAGUGAGAAUGCUGGCAUGAGUAGCGAGAGAGGGGUGAGAAACCCCUCCGCCGUAAGUCCAAGGGGUUCCUGGGGAAGGCUAAUCCGCCCAGGGUAAGUCGGGAGCUAAGGCGAGGCCGAGAGGCGUAGUCGAUGCACAACCGGUUGAUAUUCCGGUACUACCGUGUACGCGCCCAAACCAAGUUCCGGUUGCUAAGGGGCUGUUUCCUUCGGGAAACGAACCGACCCACUGGAAGGCGGUUAGCAAUGAGGGGACGCAGGAGGGUAGGUGAGCCCAGGCGAUGGUUGUCCUGGGGUAAGCGCGUAGGGAGAGGUCUAGGCAAAUCCGGCCCUCAUAAAUCCUGAGACGCAAUGCCGAGCCGUUUAAGGCGAAGUCACUAAUCCCAUGCUGCCAAGAAAAGCCUCUAGCGAGCUUGCACGGUACCCGUACCCCAAACCGACACAGGUGGACAGGUAGAGAAUACCAAGGCGAUCGGGAG
rnacentral:rRNA from 1 species